rnacentral:rRNA from 1 species
AUUGAACGCUGGCGGCAGGCCUAACACAUGCAAGUCGAACGAGUGGCGGACGGGUGAGUAAUGUCUGGGCAACUGCCUGAUGGAGGGGGAUAACUACUGGAAACGGUAGCUAAUACCGCAUACCCUCGGAUGUGCCCAGAUGGGAUUGGCUAGUUGGGGGGGUAACGGCUCACCUAGGCGACGAUCCCUAGCUGGUCUGAGAGGCUGACCAGCCACACUGGAACUGGGAAACGGCCCAGAUUCCGACGGGAGGCAGCAGUGGGGAAUAUUGCACAAUGGGCGCAAGCCUGAUGCAGCCAGGCCGCGUGUAGGAAGAAGGCCUUGGGGUUGUAAAGUACUUUCAGCGGGGAGGCGUUACCCGCAGAAGAAGCACCGGCUAACUCCGUGCCAGCAGCCGCGGUAAUAC